AUAUCCUAGUAAAAUUGGAAAGGAAAAAAUUAUAUUAUAUAAAAAAGUAAAUGAAAAUGCGAACUCUUUUUUUACUGUGAGUAAUCAUGAAAAAUAUAUAACAAGUAAAAGUAGGUAUAACGACACAUCCACCCCUUUUAAUACUAUGCACAACAAACAUAAAUAUACCACUUCUGAGUUUAACCAUAUGGAUAAAUACGAACAUAAUAAUGAUACUUCUCCUGCUGUACCGAAUCUUAAUGCUAAUUCGUUGUAUAAUUCAAACAUAAAUAAAAGAAAUCGCAACAAAGGGGUGUAUAAAUAUAAUGAACAGUGUAGUAAUUUGUCAGCUUCUUCGAAUGCAUACAGUCCAAACAGAGCCAGUCCAAACAGAGCCAGUCCAAACAGAGCCAGUCCAAACAAAGCCAGUCCAAAUAGAGCCAGUCCAAACACAUACAGUCCAAACACAUACAGUCCAAACAUAGGCAGUACCAACUUAAACAGCAUAAACCUAAAUACGGCCAACAUGCACUCCAACCUCGUAUAUUAUAAAAAAUGUAGCACAAGUAUGAUCAAGUACGCUAACUAUGAAACCAGUAAUGACGAAGAAAAUGAAAAACAGUUAACAAUUUGGGCAAUGUAUAGUAAUUUUUAUGACAUUGUUAAAAAUAGAUACCAAGACAUUUCAAUCGAAAGGAUACAUCAUAGCACCUACGCUGUUUCAUGCACUUUUUUUGUUUCUGCAUGUGUUAUUAACAGAUUAGGUUAUCCUAUUAAAUUAAAGCAAAUAAAUCAUGACAACAUAAUUGUUAUUGAACCAUAUGUACGUAAACUCCUUUCUUGUGACUUUGCUUUACGUAGAAACAAAAUAACAAUAUCACACGACACAUUAAAAGAAAUCAAAAAUUGGUAUAACUUCCCUUUAAAAAAAAAUAUGAUUAAACGAAAGCAAUUAAAAAGUGCAAGGUAUGUUGUUAGUAAGGGGCACUCUAUUUGUGGAUGUAAUAAAUGUCGCUUAGUGAAGAAAGACAAGAACAAUAUCCCACCUGAAAAAUGCGACGUUAAUAAUAAAAAACAAAAUAUAAAGAACGUAAAGUUUGAUAAAGAUAUAAAUAACAACAAAAAAAAACUACACCUACAAAAUAAAUCAUGUUGUAUAAGAAAAAAAAAAAAAAUAAAAAAAAAUAAAAAAUGUUUUUUUUUUCGAAAAAAUAUUAAUAAACCAUUAGAAUCAGAAGACUUUCGAAUAACUGAUUUAUCAAUAAAUAAAUUAACUUGCUCAAAUCAGAAUAAAAAUACACCUCAAUUAAAAUAUACUGUACAUAUGUCCAUAGCUCCAAUGCCUUUCUUUAGGACUACAGUAAUGGAAAUUCUACCUUAUAUAGUUAUAAUAAAUAAUACCAAAUUUAAUAUUGUAUUUCAAGAGUAUAUUAAAACUUUUACUCAUUUUAAAUACAGUGUAUUAAAUACAGGGUCCUAUGUAGAAUUUCAUCCGCAAUCAAAAAAUGACGUCGCUUUAAAAAUUUGUGGAGUAUACCAAAACAGUAUAGAUUAUUUAAUUGAUGACUAUUUACAGAAAGAAUUAUAUUUAGAAAACCGACAGCAAGAAAACCAAGUUAUGCAUCACAAGGAUCAGGAAAAGGACGAUAGUGCACCACAUAGUCAUAAACAACAAU
ensembl:lncRNA